rnacentral:rRNA from 1 species
GCGGGAGAGGUACUUGCUACUGAUCUUAGCGGCGGACGGGUGAGUAAUGCUUAGGAAUCUGCCUAUUAGUGGGGGACAACAUUUCGAAAGGAAUGCUAAUACCGCAUACGUCCUACGGGAGAAAGCAGGGGAUCUUCGGACCUUGCGCUARUAGAUGAGCCUAAGUCGGAUUAGCUAGUUGGUGGGGUAAAGGCCUACCAAGGCGACGAUCUGUAGCGGGUCUGAGAGGAUGAUCCGCCACACUGGGACUGAGACACGGCCCAGACUCCUACGGGAGGCAGCAGUGGGGAAUAUUGGACAAUGGGCGCAAGCCUGAUCCAGCCAUGCCGCGUGUGUGAAGAAGGCCUUAUGGUUGGUAAAGCACUUUAAGCGAGGAGGAGGCUACUUUUAGUUAAUACCUUAGAGAUAGUGGACGUUACUCCCAGAAAUAAGCCACCGGYUAACUCUGKGGCCCAACAACCCGCGGGUAAAUACCAAAAGGGGUGGCAAAGCGGUUUAAUCCGGAUUUUUACUUGGG